ensembl:lncRNA
AUAACAUCUUAAAAGCAGCUUUAGACUGUGAUAUGUAAUCCAGAAUGUUAGGUUUGCCUAAUUCCUCAUUCCCUAGAAAUGAAUACAGAUUUCUGGCAGCCAAACACCACGUGAAUUGUUAAAAAUAAAACACCUGAUAAUCGGUAUUAAAUUAAAUCACAGAGCAGAGAUGGAUGAUGAUUGUGAUGAGGGCUUUAAGUAUUAUUUACCUUCCUACAAAGAGCUUGUCUGGGCUUUCAAACAGGGUAUAUAAAACACUUACUUAGCAUGUAACUUGAGCUAUGAAAAUUGUAUUACAGUUAAGUGUUCUUAAAGCCUCAGGCUUUUUAUCACAAUUAAGAGAGCAUGGAAGAAGGAGGAGAAGGAAAAUGGAAAUAACUUAAGGGAGCAUUCAUGAAUGGCAUUGCCGUGCAGAGGUGUGCAAAAGCACCAGCAAGACAGCAUUGGCAGAAUCACAUUGGGAAAGCUCAGCAGACGUUCUUCUGGGAUGCUGCCUCAGGCCACUGGUCUGCUGCAACAUACACCCAUGCUCUGCUCGCUCAGAGAACAAGGUGUGGCUUCCUUUCCUCAUCCAGCCUGGCUCGCUUGGAUAUCUCCUUGUCCACCUAACUGGAAGGCUUCUCAUCCCAGGAGCUCUGCUCUGCUCUCUGCUUGGUGUGAAGUACUGUCUGCCUCUCACUCUACCCCUGGAAAGAAGUGGCCAUAUCACCCUUGAAGAAUACUG